rnacentral:rRNA from 1 species
AUUGAACGCUGGCGGCAGGCUUAACACAUGCAAGUCGAACGGUAGCAGGAGAAAGCUUGCUUUCUUGCUGACGAGUGGCGGACGGGUGAGUAAUGCUUGGGAAUCUGGCUUAUGGAGGGGGAUAACUACGGGAAACUGUAGCUAAUACCGCGUAGAAUCGGAAGAUGAAAGUGCGGGACCGCAAGGCCGCAUGCCAUAGGAUGAGCCCAAGUGGGAUUAGGUAGUUGGUGGGGUAAAGGCCUACCAAGCCUGCGAUCUCUAGCUGGUCUGAGAGGAUGGCCAGCCACACUGGAACUGAGACACGGUCCAGACUCCUACGGGAGGCAGCAGUGGGGAAUAUUGCGCAAUGGGGGGAACCCUGACGCAGCCAUGCCGCGUGAAUGAAGAAGGCCUUCGGGUUGUAAAGUUCUUUCGGUAUUGAGGAAGGUUGAUGUGUUAAUAGUACAUCAAAUUGACGUUAAAUACAGAAGAAGCACCGGCUAACUCCGUGCCAGCAGCCGCGGUAAUACGGAGGGUGCGAGCGUUAAUCGGAAUAACUGGGCGUAAAGGGCACGCAGGCGGUUAUUUAAGUGAGGUGUGAAAGCCCCGGGCUUAACCUGGGAAUUGCAUUUCAGACUGGGUAACUAGAGUACUUUAGGGAGGGGUAGAAUUCCACGUGUAGCGGUGAAAUGCGUAGAGAUGUGGAGGAAUACCGAAGGCGAAGGCAGCCCCUUGGGAAUGUACUGACGCUCAUGUGCGAAAGCGUGGGGAGCAAACAGG